rnacentral:tRNA from 1 species
UAGGUAGCUCAGCUGGUAGAGCAAUGGACUGAAAAUCCAUGUGUCGCUGGUUCGACUCCGGCCCUAGG